rnacentral:rRNA from 1 species
CCUACGGGAGGCAGCAGUGAGGAAUAUUGGUCAAUGGGCGCGAGCCUGAACCAGCCAAGUCGCGUGAGGGAAGACGGUCCUAUGGAUUGUAAACCUCUUUUGUCGGGGAGCAAAAGACGCCACGCGUGGCGUUCCGAGAGUACCCGAAGAAAAAGCAUCGGCAAACUCCGUGCCAGCAGCCGCGGUAAUCCGGAGGAUGCGAGCGUUAACCGGAUGUAGUGGGGUAAGAGGGUGCGCAGGCGGAAGAUCAAGGCAGCGGUAAAAUUGAGAGGCUCAACCUCUUCGAGCUGUUGAAACUGGGUGUCUUGAGUGAGCGAGAAGUAUGCGGAAUGCGUGGUGUAGCGGUGAAAUGCAUAGAUAUCACGCAGAACUCCGAUUGCGAAGGCAGCAUACCGGCGCUCAACUGACGCUCAUGCACGAAAGUGUGGGUAUCGAACAGGAUUAGAUACCCGAGUAGUC